AUUGAACGCUGGCGGCAUGCUUUACACAUGCAAGUCGAACGGUAACAGGCCGCAAGGUGCUGACGAGUGGUGAACGGGUGAGUAAUGCAUCGGAACGUGCCCAGUCGUGGGGGAUAACGCAGCGAAAGCUGCGCUAAUACCGCAUACGAUCUAUGGAUGAAAGCGGGGGACCGUAAGGCCUCGCGCGAUUGGAGCGGCCGAUGUCAGAUUAGGUAGUUGGUGGGGUAAAGGCUCACCAAGCCAACGAUCUGUAGCUGGUCUGAGAGGACGACCAGCCACACUGGGACGGAGACACGGCCCAGACUCCUACGGGAGGCAGCAGUGGGGAAUUUUGGACAAUGGGCGCAAGCCUGAUCCAGCAAUGCCGCGUGCAGGAAGAAGGCCUUCGGGUUGUAAACUGCUUUUGUACGGAACGAAACGGCUCUCACUAAUACUGGGGGCUAAUGACGGUACCGUAAGAAUAAGCACCGGCUAACUACGUGCCAGCCGCCGCAGUAAUAC
rnacentral:rRNA from 1 species